CCAACGGGGGGCAGCAGUGGGGAAUAUUGGGCAAUGGUCGCAAUCCUUACCCAUCAACGCCUCUUUAAUUAAGAAGGCUUUCGGGUUGUAAACUUCUUUUCUUGGGGACGAAGAAAGUGACGGUACCCAAGGAAUAAGCCACGGCUAACUACGUGCCAGCAGCCGCGGUAAUACGUAGGUGGCAAGCGUUAUCCGGAUUUAUUGGGUGUAAAGGGCGUGUAGGCGGGAUUGCAAGUCAGAUGUGAAAACCACGGGCUCAACCU
rnacentral:rRNA from 1 species